rfam:Vanderwaltozyma polyspora DSM 70294 KpolScaffold413 genomic scaffold, whole genome shotgun sequence.
GGGCACGUGGCGUAGUUGGUAGCGCGCCUGCCUUGCAAGCAGGAGGUCACUGGUUCGAUUCCUGUCGUGUCCA